UAAGCAGGUAAUGUAUAAAAGCAAAAACACAUCGAAAAACAAACAACGGAGUCUUUUCUUUCUCGCGUUCUUCUCUCCCAAAUUGAAAACCUAGCAAGAGUUCUUCUUCUUCUUUCACCGGUGACCCAAGAGAGAGGAGUCAGCAUUCUCUCCUUCAAGAACUCUUUCAAACCUGACGACCCAGAUUCUGUCUCCACUCUCAAGUGAAUCUCUGUCACUGACCUGUGACUGGCACAGGUUGUGGGAUGGCCACCAAUUUGUUCCGAGUAAAUACUGUAACACACUUUCACACUCCUUUAUGUGAUAAAAUUGCAGGCUGCUAUGAGAAAAUUGCAGAGAAUGCUAUUAACCUUCCCUAAAGUACUCUUGGUUGCAAGUAGAGCUGCCACUGCUGUUAGAGUUACUGUUGUCAAAGCUGUUCAUAACCAGAUGGAUGGGAAAUAUUGCAAUACAAAUGUCAAAGAGAUUGCCUUUGUUUGAAAGUGUAAUUUUUAGUAUUUUAAUGAUGUCACCCCAAUGAGCAAAAGCUCAUUGGAGAGAAAGAGAGAGAGAGAGAGAGAUUAGGUUAGAGGUUUUGUCAAACACAAUGUAAUUUGUGUGUGUGUAUAUGUAUAUCAGGUUUUGAAGGUUUUUAUCUUUGUUCCUUUUUAUUUUCCCCA